GCGUUGUUCGGAUUCUUUGGGCGUAAAGGGAGCGCAGGUAGCGGGGUAAGUCAGAUGUGAAAUUUCGGAGCUCAACUCCGAAACUGCAUUUGAUACUGCCUUGCUUGAGGACUGGAGAGGAGACUGGAAUUUACGGUGUAGCUGUGAAAUGCGUAGAUAUCGUAAGGAAGACCAGUGGCGAAGGCGGGUCUCUGGACAGUUCCUGACACUGAGGCACGAAGGCCAG
rnacentral:rRNA from 1 species